AAGUCUGGUGCCCGCAGCCGCGGUAAUUCCAGCUCCAAUAGCGUAUAUUAAAGUUGUUGCAGUUAAAAAGCUCGUAGUUGAAUUUCGGGGUUAGUAGGUUGGUCAUGCCUCUGGUAUGUACUGGUCUCACUGAUUCCUCCUUCCUGAUGAACCGUAAUGCCAUUAAUUUGGUGUUGCGGGGAAUUUGGACUGUUACUUUGAAAAAAUUAGAGUGUUUAAAGCAAGCUAACGCUUGAAUACAUUAGCAUGGAAUAAUGAAAUAGGACGUUCGAUCCUAUUUUGUUGGUUUCUAGGAUUGACGUAAUGAUUAAUAGGGAUAGUUGGGGGCAUUAGUAUUCAAUUGUCAGAGGUGAAAUUCUUGGAUUUAUUGAAGACUAACUACUGCGAAAGCAUUUGCCAAGGAUGUUUUCAUUAAUCAAGAACGAAAGUUAGGGGAUCGAAGACGAUCAGAUACCGUCGUAGUCUUAACCAUAAACUAUGCCGACUAGGGAUCGGAUGAUGUUAAUUUUUUAAUGACUCAUUCGGCGCCUUACGGGAAACCAAAGUGUUUGGGU
rnacentral:rRNA from 1 species